UCCCUGGUGGCUCAGGUGGUAAAGAAUCUGCUUGCAAUGCAGGAGACCUAGGUUAGAUCCCUGGAUUGGGAA
rfam:TPA: Bos taurus chromosome 7, whole genome shotgun sequence.